CCUACAGCCCACAGUCGACCGCACCAACUCGCGGCCCGUCGCUGCGCUCGCUGCUCUGGUCGGCGGACGGCACCGUGGCGACCGGUCGGACCGGACCGCCGUUCGCCGGAUCAUCCCUGUUUUCUCUUGCGUGCUUCUCUCGUCAUCUUGUGGCGACGACUGGGCGACUGCCGACGGCCGCUGCUUGCUGGAGACGAGCACCCAACAGAUCGUUAAGGAGAACCAGAAGCUUCACAAAGUCAAUAUUGAGAUUGAAGAUGAGAUUUCAGAACAGAAGGGCGAAAUACUGCAGGUCGAGGAAGGCUUUAGAGGGACUCUUUUGACAUCAAGUGUUUCACCACAGCUUUGUUAGGGUAUAUCAUUUAGUGAAUGAGUUUCUUUCGUCAGAUAUAUGGCUGCAUACCGGUUGAUGUAAGCUAGUUAAGGUCUCUAGAAGAUACCUGAUUGCUUCUGAGGGUAUACUGAAUCAUGUCGGUUCUAGGAGCCCGGGUGUUUUUUUUUUUUUGGUCUAUCCUUCUCUCGAUGCUGUCACACUUAAGGAUGUCAGAUGUAUCCUCGCUUGAGUGAGGGAAACAGAAGAAGGCUCCUCCUGUAAUUCAGCCUUCCAUUCUUCCCUAAUGUAAUUACGACUUAGGUAUUACUGGAUAUCUCUGGCAGCGGGGCUGUGCUGUUUUUCAUGCUUUUUAUGGCCACCCAGUUUUGCUCACCUCGGCCAUAAUGCAUAAGGGUGUGCAAUGCCUUCUGAUGUCC